GUCACAUCCUGGCAACGGUACUACCCUGGGUUCCGGGCAGGGGUGGAACUGGAUUCUGCCUGGAUGGGGAUCGGAUGGGGGUGGAGGUUUGAUUUGGGAAGCAGAGCACAGCAGCCCAAAUUUGUUGUAAUGGCGGCGGCUACAGAAUUGAUUUUGGGAACAGAACACAGCAGCCUGAACUUGAUUGUUAUUUUGGCAGCUACAGGCAGAACAAGAAGGCCAAACAGAAGCCUCCACCAAUUGUCCUCCCUGCAGGAAGAUCAAAUUGAACAACUAUCCACACAAAGAAGCACUUUAAUGAGAAUGAAAAAUCAGGAAUAAUCUACAUCCAAUGACUUGUAAGUGCAAGAGUAUAAAGACUGGGCCCCUUUGACUCAAUUUAAGACAACUCUGAAGGGACAUGUCAGCCACAAGGAUCCCCAUGGGAUAGGAUGAAGUCUCCAUCAUGACUGGGCCACAGGGAUGGGGUCUCGCUGUGUUGCCCAGAUGGGGCCUCAAAUUCCUGGCCUCAAGCAGUCCUCCUGUCUCAGCCUCCCAAAGUGCUGGGACUACAGGCAUAAACUACCACACCCAGCCAGUAAGUAAUAGGCACUUUUAAACAGCUAUAUUGAGAUAUAAUUUACAUCUCAUAUACGCCAUCCAUUUAAACUGUAUGACUCAAUGGUUUUAGUCAUGCAUUUAAUUACCUUUUCUUUUUAGUUGUCCAUCACUGCUCAUUCUUACUCUCUUCCUCUCUCUCUCUCUCUCUCUCUCUCACACACACACACACACACACACACACACACACACCCCAGAAUGUAGAAUCCUUGAGGGCAGGGACUUUAUCUUCUUCACUUGCUGUGUCCUAAUAUCUAGAAUGGUGCCUCAGAAUUGUAGGUCCUUAAUAAAUGUUUGUUAGUUGACUGGAAUGAAGGCAGUGGAGAUGGAGAAAACUGAAUCGACGUGAGGAAUAGGUAGGACCCGGCAAUGGAUAGGAUGUGGGGACUGAUGGAGAGGGAUGUGUCAUGAUGACUUCCAGAUUUCCGGUUUGGGCCAUUCAGCAGUUGUUGAUGUCAAUAACAGAGCCAUAGAACACUGGAGGCAGAACAGAUUGGGAGAUACAAAUGACUGGAAGUAGAAUGACAUCUUGUAGUGAAAAGAACAUGUAUAUAGAAAGUAGAAAAACUGAGUCAUAGUCCUGAAUUUCCUGUGUAACUCUGAUCAGGCAACUGCCCACUUCUGGACCUGUUUUUCUUUUGUGAGUUGAUUGGUUUGGACUGAAAAAACAUUCUGGGUUUUUGCAUCCAGAUCUUGGUAAAUAAUUUAGGACAUGUAGAAUCUGUCCACAGAGGUAUGUUUCACUGAGUCCAUACCCCUCAAUUGGCUUAUAGCUAUUAUCACAAAUCUGUCUGUGGCAUCAAACCUUUGCCCAGAGAUCUCUGAAAUUUCUAGAGAGUGAUGCACCUGGGCUGACAAACAAGUCGCUCAUCUACACUUAGCCUGAAACACAAAGUAUCCUUUGUCGUUUCUGCUCCCACUGUUCAUUUCUAGGUCCAGGGAAGUCAGCUGAGGGCAGUUCCUCACCACUGCCACUGCCAGCAGUUCCCUGCACAGCAAUGAUGAUGAGUUCACCAAAGACGUUUUACUGUGGAAGCUCCUAAAACUACUGGCCCAAUCAGAAACCAGACCUUAAGAUGCCAAAGGAUUGCUCGGGGGCCUUAUGUUAUAGCAUGAUGAGAUAGUGACUAUAAAAUGAACGUGCUAAACAUAUUUGAAGACAUAAAACACAGAAUUUUUAAAACACAAUAAAAUAGGCCGGGCACGGUGGCUCAUGCCUGUAAUCCCAGCACUUUGGGAGGUCGAUGUGGGCGGAUCACCUGAGGUCGGGAGUUUGAGACCAGUCUGACCAACAUGGAGAAACGCCAUCUCUACUAAAAAUACAAAAAUUAGCUGGGCAUCAUGGCACAUGCCUGUAAUCCCAGCUACUUGGGAGGCUGAGGCAGGAGAAUCGCCUGAACCUGGGAGGCGGAGGUUGCAGUGAGCCAAGAUCACGCUAUUGCACUCCAGCCUGGGCAACAAGAGUAAAACUCCGUCUAAAAAAUAAAUAAAUAAAUAAAUAAAUAAAUAAAUAAAUAAAUAAAAUAAGAGAACCUUCUAGGGACUCCCCACUUUCCUUGGAAUAAAGUCCAGACCCCUUUCCAUGGCCCAUGGGGUCCUGCAUGGUGGGGACAUUGGCCUCCUGUCCAGCCUGGGCUCCUGCCACUCUCCCUGCUUAGCUAAAAUCUGAAGCCCAAGGUUCCUUCACCCCCUCAAGCAAAACUCCUUUUUGCUGUGCUGGGGUCCCUGUGGAUACUGCCUUUCUGCCCUUGAGCUUCUGUGGCCUGUGAGGCUCACCCUGUCCAGAGGCUCAAGCUUACCAAGCUCCCAUGCCCUGUGAUGAUUCUAUUGCGAGAUUGUGGGGCAAUUCCCUAUCUGGCUUUGCUUCCCCACGUGGUUGGCUAAGAAGCCACUAUGUCUGCGUGGGUCUCAGGCCAGCCUGUAGGACAUGAGGAGCUGGAAAGCAGAAGGCUGGCAGGGCUGAGAGCUGAGAGCUGUUGGCAGAUCCCCCAGGGCCUGCAGUGCAGCGUCUUGUAGCAGGCAUCUUUCUCCAAUAGCCCAGAAGGCAGUGUGGGAGUAGGGGUCAUUUGUCCCAAAUACUAGCUCACUGGUCCUCAGGUUGCAGAACCAAGCAGGGAGGCUAUUGGUUCCCUGCUAGGCCACUGCUAGGAUUCAUGGGCAGCUUCUUUCCUGACAAGGCAUUUUCAAGGCUGCUGCUCCUUUCCUCACCUCUUUUUACUUUUAAUUGUGGUAAAAUACACAUCAUAUAAAAUGUACCAUCUUCAUGAUUUUUAAGUGUACAGUUCAGUGGUACAUUAAGCACAUUCACAGUGUUGUGCAACCAUCACCACCAUCCAUCCACAGACUUGUCAAACUAAACCUCUGUCCCCAUUAAACACUAACUCCCCAUUCUCCCUCCCCCUACCCCCGGCACUGACCAUUCUACUGUCUGUCACUAUGGAUUUGACCAUUCUAGGGACCUUGUAUCAGUGGAAUCCUACACUAAUUGUCCUUUUGUGAGUGGCUUACUUCACUGAGCGUAAUGCUCUCUAGGGUCAUCCAUGCGUAGCAUGUGUCAGAAUGUCGUUCCUUUUUAAGACUGAAUAAUAGUCCAUUGUAUGGAUGGACCACAUUUGGCUUAUCUAUUCAUCCAUUGAUGGAAAUUUGUCUUGAUCCACCAGCUGGAUAUUAUGAAUAAUGCUGCUGUGAACAUGAGUACACAAAUAUCUCUUCGAUCUGCUUUCAGUUCUUUUGGAUACAUACCCAGAAACGAGAUUGCUAGAUCAUAUGGUAAUUCUGUGUUGAAUAUUUCAAGGAACAUCCAUUCUAUCUUCCACCAUUUUACAUUCCCACAUAUGGUGUAUAAGGGUGCACAAGGGUUCCAAUUUCUCCACAUCCUCACCAACAUUUGUUUUCUGUUUUUGUGAUACUAGCCAUCCCACUGAGUGUGAGGUGGUAUCUCACAAUAGUUUUGAUUUGCAUUUCCCUAACUGGUGAUGUUGAACAUCUUUUCAUAUACUUAUUGGUCAUUUGUAUAUCUUCUUUGAAGUAUCAUCUAUUCAAGCCUUUUGCCCAUUUUUAAAUCUCGCUUGUUUCUUGUUGUUGUUUGGUUGUAAAAGUUCUUUAUAUAUUCUUGAUAGUAACCCCUUAUCAGAUGUGUGAAUUGCAAAUAUUUUCUCCCAUUCCAUUGAUUGCCUUUUAAUAUUGUUGAUUGUUCCUUUGAUGUGCAGAAGUUUUUAAUUUUGAUGUAGGCCAGCGUGGUGGGUCAUGCCUAUAAUCCCAGCACUUUGGGAGGCCAAGCAAGGGAAUCACUUCAGCCCAGGAGUUCAAGACCAGCCUGGACAACGUAGGGAGACCCUGUUUUUAUUUUUAAAAGAAUUUUUAAAAAGUUUUAGCCAGGAGUGUUGGCGCGUGCCAGUAGUCCCAACUACCCAGGAGGCUGAGGCAAGAGUACCACUUGAGCCUAGGAGUUCGAGGCUGCAGUAAGCCAUGAUUGCACCACUGCACUCCAGCCUACACAACAGAGUGAGAUCCCGUUUCCAAAAAAAAAAAAAAAAAAAAAAAAAAAAAAAAAAGAAGUAGUCUCAUUUGUCUAUUUGUUCUUUUGUUGCCUGUAUUUUUGUCAUUGUAUCCAAGAAAGCAUUGCCACAUCCAAUGUCAUGAAGCUUCUCCCCUCUGUUUUCUUCAGUUUACAGUUUUGGCACUUGUGUUUAGGUCUUUCAUCCAUUUGAGUUAAUUUUAGUAUAUGAUGUAAAGUGAGGGUCCAAUUUCAUUAUUUUGCAUGUGGAUAACAAGUUGUCCCAACAUCAUUUGUUGAGAUUCUCCUCAGCUCUUAAAGGAAGAGAGGACAAGGAGCAUGGUGACUGAGGGUGACAAGACCUCCCUUUCUCUUGCUGAGCCACUCACUUGAUCAAGGACCCUGAGCAUGAAUUUAUUUAUUCAUUCACGCAUUGGGCAAUAUCCAAACCCAGAGUUCACAACCUCCAUAAAAUUUAGGGAGUCCAUGCAAUUAGAUCGUGAAAGAAUACUUUUUUUUUAAAUUUUUACUAACCUCUAGUUGAAAUUACCAUCAUGGAUAACGAAUGCAGGCAAUCAACCACAGGAAGAUUAGCAGUACUUAUAACAGUCACCGAGUGAAAUCCCUGAUAUUUUCAUAUUACAUUAACUGUGGCAGCAGCUCUUCAAAUAUGCUUUAUACUUGUCACUACUUCCAAAUUACAACAGUUAUUAGACCUUUCCUCAAUUCUAUUAUUUAACACAUUAAUGAAGAUGCACAUACAUUUUAUGGCAUCACAAUUGUGGCUUAGAAAAAUAUUUUGAUAACUGUCUUUCAAUAAAA
rnacentral:lncRNA from 10 species